rnacentral:rRNA from 1 species
UACGUAGGGCGCAAGCGUUGUCCGGAAUUAUUGGGCGUAAAGAGCUCGUAGGCGGUUUGUCGCGUCUGCUGUGAAAACCUAAGGCUCAACCUUGGGCUUGCAGUGGGUACGGGCAGACUAGAGUGCGGUAGGGGUGACUGGAAUUCCUGGUGUAGCGGUGGAAUGCGCAGAUAUCAGGAGGAACACCGGUGGUGUAAACGGCUCUCUGGACCGUAACUGACGCUGAGGCACGAAAGCCGUGGGUAGCAAACAGG